rnacentral:rRNA from 1 species
UACAGAGGGGGCAAGCGUUGUUCGGAAUUACUGGGCGUAAAGGGCGCGUAGGCGGCCUGCUAAGUCGAACGUGAAAUCCCCGAGCUCAACUCGGGAACUGCGUCCGAUACUGGUUGGCUUGAAUCCGGGAGAGGGAUGCGGAAUUCCAGGUGUAGCGGUGAAAUGCGUAGAUAUCUGGAGGAACACCGGUGGCGAAGGCGGCAUCCUGGACUGGUCCUGACGCUCAGGAGCGAAAGCGUGGGGAGCGAUCCGG